rnacentral:rRNA from 1 species
CGGAAUUCCAGGCCUAACACAUGCAAGUCGUGCGCGUGAAGCAGCCAAACAUCCUUCGGGAUGUGCGGCUUUGGAUCGAGCGGCGGACGGGUGAGUAACACGUGGGCAACCUGCCUUCGAGACUGGGAUAACGCCGGGAAACCGGCGCUAAUACCGGAUAAAGCCUGCCAUCACGUGAUGGCAGGAUGAAAGGCGGCUUCUUCGGAAGCUGUCACUUGAAGAUGGGCCCGCGGCGCAUUAGUUAGUUGGUGGGGUAAUGGCUCACCAAGGCGACGAUGCGUAGCCGACCUGAGAGGGUGAUCGGCCACACUGGGACUGAGACACGGCCCAGACUCCUACGGGAGGCAGCAGUAGGGAAUCUUCCGCAAUGGACGAAAGUCUGACGGAGCAAUGCCGCGUGAGUGAUGAAGGUCUCAGGAUCGUAAAGCUCUGUUGUCAGGGAAGAACACAUACCGCUCGAAGAGGGCGGUGUGCUGCCGGUACCUGACCAGAAAGCCCCGGCUAACUACGUGCCAGCAGCCGCGGUAAUACGUAGGGGGCAAGCGUUGUCCGGAAUUAUUGGGCGUAAAGGGCACGCAGGCGGUCUUUUAAGUCUGAUGUGAAAUCCUGCGGCUCAACCGCAGGCUUGCAUUGGAAACUGGAGGACUUGAGGACAGAAGAGGAGAGUGGAAUUCCACGUGUAGCGGUGAAAUGCGUAGAGAUGUGGAGGAACACCAGUGGCGAAGGCGACUCUCUGGUCUGUAACUGACGCUGAGGUGCGAAAGCAUGGGUAGCAAACAGGAUUAGAUACCCUGGUAGUCCAUGCCGUAAACGAUGAGUGCUAGGUGUCAGGGGGUUUCCGCCCCCUGGUGCUGAAGUUAACGCAUUAAGCACUCCGCCUGGGGAUUACGGCCGCAAGGCUGAAACUCAAAAGAAUUGACGGGGGCCCGCACAAGCGGUGGAGCAUGUGGUUUAAUUCGACGCAACGCGAAGAACCUUACCAGGUCUUGACAUCCUCUGCCAGCGCUGGAAACAGCGUGUUCCCUUCGGGGACAGAGUGACAGGUGGUGCAUGGUUGUCGUCAGCUCGUGUCGUGAGAUGUUGGGUUAAGUCCCGCAACGAGCGCAACCCCUAACCCUAGUUGCCAGCAUUCGGUUGGGCACUCUAGGGUGACUGCCGGUGACAAACCGGAGGAANGUGGGGAUGACGUCNAAUCAUCAUGCCCCUUAUGACCUGGGCUACACACGUGCUACAAUGGAUGGUACAA